UAGGGAAUCUUCGGCAAUGGGGGCAACCCUGACCGAGCAACGCCGCGUGAGUGAAGAAGGUUUUCGGAUCGUAAAGCUCUGUUGUAAGAGAAGAACGUGUGUGAGAGUGGAAAGUUCACACAGUGACGGUAACUUACCAGAAAGGGACGGCUAACUACGUGCCAGCAGCCGCGGUAAUACGUAGGUCCCGAGCGUUGUCCGGAUUUAUUGUGCGUAAAGCGAGCGCAGGCGGUUUAAUAAGUCUGAAGUUAACGGCAGUGGCUUAACCAUUGUUCGCUUUGGAAACUGUUAAACUUGAGUGCAGAGGGGGGGAGUGGAAUUCCAUGUGUAGCGGUGAAAUGCGUAGAUAUAUGGAGGAGCACCGGUGGCGAAAGCGGCUCUCUGGUCUGUAACUGACGCCGAGGCUCGACAGCGUGGGGAGCAAACAGG
rnacentral:rRNA from 1 species